GGCUAAACCAUGCACCGAAGCUGCGGCAGCGACACUCAGGUGUUGUUGGGUAGGGGAGCGUUCUGUAAGCCUGUGAAGGUGUGUCGUGAGGCAUGCUGGAGGUAUCAGAAGUGCGAAUGCUGACAUAAGUAACGAUAAAGCGGGUGAAAAGCCCGCUCGCCGGAAGACCAAGGGUUCCUGUCCAACGUUAAUCGGGGCAGGGUGAGUCGACCCCUAAGGCGAGGCCGAAAGGCGUAGUCGAUGGGAAACGGGUUAAUAUUCCCGUACUUGGUGUUACUGCGAAGGGGGGACGGAGAAGGCUAUGUUGGCCGGGCGACGGUUGUCCCGGUUUAAGCGUGUAGGUGUGUGUUCCAGGUAAAUCCGGUUCACUUUAACACUGAGGCGUGAUGACGAGGCACUACGGUGCUGAAGCAACAAAUGCCCUGCUUCCAGGAAAAGCCUCUAAGCAUCAGGUAACAUCAAAUCGUACCCCAAACCGACACAGGUGGUCAGGUAGAGAAUACCAAGGCGCUUGAGAGAACUCGGGUGAAGGAACUAGGCAAAAUGGUGCCGUAACUUCGGGAGAAGGCACGCUGACACGUAGGUGAAGUGAUUUACUCAUGGAGCUGAAGUCAGUCGAAGAUACCAGCUGGCUGCAACUGUUUAUUAAAAACACAGCACUGUGCAAACACGAAAGUGGACGUAUACGGUGUGACGCCUGCCCGGUGCCGGAAGGUUAAUUGAUGGGGUCAGCGCAAGCGAAGCUCCUGAUCGAAGCCCCGGUAAACGGCGGCCGUAACUAUAACGGUCCUAAGGUAGCGAAAUUCCUUGUCGGGUAAGUUCCGACCUGCACGAAUGGCGUAAUGAUGGCCAGGCUGUCUCCACCCGAGACUCAGUGAAAUUGAACUCGCUGUGAAGAUGCAGUGUACCCGCGGCAAGACGGAAAGACCCCGUGAACCUUUACUAUAGCUUGACACUGAACAUUGAGCCUUGAUGUGUAGGAUAGGUGGGAGGCUUUGAAGCGUGGACGCCAGUCUGCGUGGAGCCGACCUUGAAAUACCACCCUUUAAUGUUUGAUGUUCUAACGUGGACCCGUGAUCCGGGUUGCGGACAGUGUCUGGUGGGUAGUUUGACUGGGGCGGUCUCCUCCUAAAGAGUAACGGAGGAGCACGAAGGUUGGCUAAUCCUGGUCGGACAUCAGGAGGUUAGUGCAAUGGCAUAAGCCAGCUUGACUGCGAGCGUGACGGCGCGAGCAGGUGCGAAAGCAGGUCAUAGUGAUCCGGUGGUUCUGAAUGGAAGGGCCAUCGCUCAACGGAUAAAAGGUACUCCGGGGAUAACAGGCUGAUACCGCCCAAGAGUUCAUAUCGACGGCGGUGUUUGGCACCUCGAUGUCGGCUCAUCACAUCCUGGGGCUGAAGUAGGUCCCAAGGGUAUGGCUGUUCGCCAUUUAAAGUGGUACGCGAGCUGGGUUUAGAACGUCGUGAGACAGUUCGGUCCCUAUCUGCCGUGGGCGCUGGAGAACUGAGGGGGGCUGCUCCUAGUACGAGAGGACCGGAGUGGACGCAUCACUGGUGUUCGGGUUGUCAUGCCAAUGGCACUGCCCGGUAGCUAAAUGCGGAAGAGAUAAGUGCUGAAAGCAUCUAAGCACGAAACUUGCCCCGA
rnacentral:rRNA from 1 species